GGGCGGCGCGCGCGGCGGCGGCGGAGCGCGGCCGGGCGGCGGACGCGGCGGCGGCGGAGCUGCGCGGCGCCGGGGAGCGUCUGCAGGACGCGAAGAAAACCAUCGAUCAGUUGAAAACCGAUGAAGCUAUCCUAGUCGAGAAGGUCAAAAGUCUAGAACAAGUUGUCACUAUUAAAACUCAGCACGAGCAAGAUUUAGAGGCGGAAGUUCGAUUCCUUAAAGAAAAUGCUAGUAGACUGGAAGCAGAGAAAGUCUCGGUGAACGACCGACUGACUGCUAGCGAGCACGAGUGCAACGCUCGCGGCGCUGCUCUCGCCGAGCAGGCGGCAGCCGUCGCUCGCGCUCGCGCCGACCUCGAGCAGGCGCGGGCGGAGCUCGCCGGCGCGCGCG